rnacentral:rRNA from 1 species
UACGGGGGGAGCAAACGUUGUUCGGAAUUACUGGGCGUAAAGGGCUCGUAGGCGGCCAACUAAGUCAGACGUGAAAUCCCCAGGCUCAACCUGGGAACUGCGUCUGAUACUGGAUGGCUUGAAUCCGGGAGAGGGAUGCAGAAUUCCAGGUGUAGCGGUGAAAUGCGUAGAUAUCUGGAGGAAUACCGGUGGCGAAGGCGGCAUCCUGGACCGGCAUUGACGCUGAGGAGCGAAAGCCAGGGGAGCAAACGGG